UGCAGGCUUAUUACAUGCCUGGCACAGAGGGUGCUGUCCUUUGCAUGUAUGUAUCUUAUUCUGCAUCACAACCACUCUGCUGGGCAGGUCCACUCUCGUCCCAUUUUAUGAGAAGGUUCAGAAACAUUCAGUGCCAUUCUUGAUGACCCACAUCCGAAGAGCAGUGAAGCCAGAAGUGAAAUCCUUAUCUGUCUGGUUGCAGUGUCCUCAACCUCUGCUUCCAGAAAGCAUGUGAUCUUGAGCCGCAGUGAAAUGCAUCCAAAAAUGGGAAAAUAAAGGUACCAGAGCAGAUGCAGUAGUGGGGGAGGAGGUUCCCCCAGAAGGGCAUACUGGAGAGAGCUGCAGGGGAUAGUCUGGGUGGGCUAUGGCAACACAGAAAGCCCGUGCUGGCCUCCCUAGAGCUCUUGAGUACUUGUUCCACGAGGAGAGGAACCCAGGUGUAGGCUUUCGGUGGUGGUGGGGUGCAAUGGGAGAGUGGGGAGAGGUGGUAGAGAGGACAUGGGGACAGCUAAGCAUACAUCUUGGGUUUUCUGGAACAAUCUUAAUUUUCAAAUCUCAAUCAAAUUUUCAAAUGCCUUUCCUUGACAGAGCAGAACACAACAGUCACGGGGUCCUACGGAAGUGUGGGCGCCCUGCUGGUUGGGAAUUGUUGGAAACAAGAUUCAUGAAAAGUCUUGAGUAUUCCUGACUUUGUGCCCCUGCAUCCAGACAGGAUGCCCUCAGCCAGUUCCCCCAGAGGGAGCCUCCUCCUUCCUCUUUAAUAUCUCUGGCAAGGAUGCUUCUCAGCCUUAUGGUUCCAGGUUUUAAAAGAUCUCUGCAGAUUUUUUUGAGGGGGACAGUGGGGAGACCUCAUCCUUCAGUUUAAGCCCUGGAAUUCUUAAUCUUUUUAGUGCUUAAGGGAAAGAGAAGAGAGGCAACAGGACCCUGUUUGAAGUCCAUUUUCAUCCUUCUCUUUGCUUUGCCUCACUCCCCAGUCAGGUGAUUCCAUCCCAAGUGGUCACUGACCAGAUGGUUGCCCCAGAGGCCUAGGUGGGCUCACGGGAUGCAGGUAGGUGCACCUGAGCGGGCCGGAAGGUGGAAUCGGAGAGUAGGUGUGAGUGGUAGGGACGGGAGGCUGCGCUUGGCAGCCCCCAGGUGCCUUGUAAGGACACACACGGGAAAUACAUAAGCCAGUGAGUCUCUUGAGCCUGCUCCCAGGGCAUUUCAGUCCCGCCUUGGCCCUAUGAAUGCCGUAUGGGGCGCAGGUGCUUCUGGGGAAAGACCCGAAGUUCCCCGACAGAACUGAUUUCCUGUGUUAACUUCGGGCAAAGCCCCUGCUCUCCUUGGGCUUUUGUUCUUCCACCUCUACGGUGGGAACAUUGAUCCUGUCCCUGCUGUCCACACACAGCCCUCCUUGCAGGGAGACUGAGGGCAAGUGAGUAAAAGCAAAGAGUCUCAAGGCUAAAAACCACCCAGGGUUCAUUUUGUCCAGUCUCUACCUCCAGCCAAAUUCUCUACGUAACAAUAUCCUUACCAGACCAAAGAGUGUGCCAGGGCAUAAAGACCACCUAGGAGGAGGAACCCACAGCUUCCCCUUGCGUUGAAGCCAAGUUGGAAGUUGUCCUGCCAGCUUUUUUUUUUUCUUUUUUCCGCUGCAUUGCUGUUCAUCAUCAAGUAAUUUAGGCCAUUUGGGAAAAAAAAUACUUCUUUCCAAAUGAGGGAGUGAUUUGCAGCAUCUGUUACUUCCUUUUUAAUUGAAUCUGUUCUGUGCAGAUACCAGCAGCAAGUGCCAAAGUCAGCAGUAGAAUUCAGCUGCGUAUAUUUUGAAGGCACUGGGAGAGUUCCGUACACUGUAUGGAUGCAGAUUAUACAGAAACCAGAUGGCAUGUUGUCUGUCCUCAAGGUCCUCUCGAGGGUGGUUGGCUGAUCUGAAGCUCUAGGGUGAGGAGGUGGAGGUCAGUUAACUUGCCUGAAGAGCGGCCUUGCAGAUAUGUGUGUGUCCAGGGUGGACUUGGAAACUUCCUCGAGAGGCAGGGGUCACAUGACAUGAGCUUUCAGUGCAGUCUGGGCGGACCAGAGAUGCUCAUGCUACCUUCCAUCUGCACCCAAGUGAUGGUUUAACGCAGCCAAAGGUUCUGUUGACCCUAGUCUCUUGCAUUCUCCAGCUUUUUGGAGCACCAGGAGGGCUACCAAGGAGACCAGGACAUUUCCUGCCCUGGAAAGUGCCCUGACAAGAAGAGUCUAAGCACUGGAAGGCAAGAGGGGCAGUCAGUGGACUGCAUAGGUCCCUUCUUACCCAUGGUGUCCAAAAUCAACAACAACACAGCAAAAAAUAACUCCUAAACACUUAAAGCUCCAAUAGCCUCAAGCAUCACUUCUUAAAAGCACUUGUUUCCAGGAGAAACAGGAAUUUGGCACCCAAAGGAAACAGACAAUGGUGGUACAGGGAUAUGCACCACGGUGGCACAGCUGAGCCCCAGAAAGCGGACUGGGUGUUCAUCUUCCUUCUCUAAAAUGCCCACUUCCUGAGCCUUCAUAAGCAGAAUUGGUAGAUUUCAGUGCCAACCUGUCAGCUUUCUUUUGUCCUCCUUACGCCAUGAGACUAAGACAGAGCAGCCUGGCAAUAAUGUUCCUCAUUUCAGGCAGGAAAGUUGAGACACAGAAUGGAGAUGAGGCUUUCCCUUGGGCUCACAGAAGGUACUUGGCAAAUGCACGGAACGGUGCCCAUGAUGAAGAGAGGUCUUGGUUCCGGAAGUAAAAUGCUUCGUGCUAGGCUGACAUGCAGCAUCUGAUGGAUACACAUAAAAACACAGAUCUCAUCCCCUUGAGGAAGGCAUGAGGUUCUAUCAGCUGUGGCAAAAAUCUGUAGCAGUGAAAGCCCUUGGGAAGGAGUAUUCUGUGGAAAUGGAAGGUCUUUCAUAGCUUUAGCCUGUAGAGAGUAUAUGUUAUUUGUCCAAAGAGAUAAGCUUCCUGUUAGCAAAUGUAAAUGAGCUGUAGACAUCUUGCAUUUUCCUGAGAGCCAUGCCCACAUUCUUGGUAAGAGGUUUUCAGAGAAUUGUAGUAUUUUGUUUUGGGGACUAUAGAGCUUAUUUCAGUCUCUCCCAAAUCUGGCUACAUGUUAGAAUCAUCUGGGGAGUUUUAAAAACCAUAGAUGUUCAGAGUACCUCUGAAGAUUCUGAUUCCAUAGGUCUGGGUGAACCUGGGAAUCUGGAAUCUGUCUUUUUUGCUGAGCUGCACCAGUCGUCUUAAGUAGUCUAGAUUAACCACCAGCUUGGGGACCUCAUCUAUUCCAGCCCCCCAUUAGAUGCCGCGUCCCAUGUCAGAGACCGGCACUGGCUUCACUUAACAGAAGAGCUUAGGUAGUGCACAGACCAACCUUGGAACCUGGGUUAUGAGGCUCUGAAAACAGAAACCCAGGACAUGGCUGCCAAACACAUGCCACCCCCAACAUGGUGGCCACUUGGGGUCACACCUUUAAGGGUCAAGUACUUAAUGGGCGCAGUUGAUUGGCUAAGUCUAGGUCAUAAGCCUGGGUGUUAUCCCGUGGGAAGCGGAAAGAGGGCUUGCAUCCCAUCACCUUCCUGUCACCCAUGUGGAGAUGCCCCUUAAACAGAAGAGUGCUCAGAUACUGGACAGCCGGACAGCAGCUGCUUUCCACAAAUUCCCUUUCCAGGAUUGCUGCCAAGAUUCAUCAAGACUGUGUUGGAAUUCCUCCCUCGUUGGGGAGACCUCCACCUGACAAGGCUGUCCAUUCUGUCUUGGGACACGUUUGAUGAUUAGGAAGUUUUUCCCAAAUCUGCCUCCCUGAAAUGG